AUAACCUUCUGUCGGUCUACCGAGCAAUAUCGCCCGCUCGGUGGAAGAUUUUCCCUUGGUCGU
rfam:Bombyx mori DNA, contig: Bm_scaf32_contig19772, strain: p50T/Dazao, build 2, whole genome shotgun sequence.